GUAUCUCCAUUGCUCUUCCCAAGUCCAUCUGAUGAUGAAACACCUGGAGAUGCUGUUGCAACAGUGACCCCACUGGCUCCUAAACCUACCAUAUUCAUUCCUCCACCCAUUAGAGAAGCGCCUUGAAUGAAAUUAGAGUUGAGUGCUGGAUCAGGGAUACCAACCAUCCCUGCCCUCAUUCCCGGACUGCCCAACUGACCACUAUUUGGGAUAGCCAUAGGAGCACCAUAGGGCAAAGCAGGCUGCUUUGGGAAAAUUGGUUGCUGCUGUGGCUGUGAUUGUUGGUUCUGUU
rnacentral:misc_RNA from 1 species